GAUGAACGCUGGCGGCGUGCCUAAUACAUGCCAGUCGAGCGAACGGACGAGAAGCUUGCUUCUCUGAUGUUAGCGGCGGACGGGUGAGUAACACGUGGAUAACCUACCUAUAAGACUGGGAUAACUUCGGGAAACCGGAGCUAAUACCGGAUAAUAUUUUGAACCGCAUGGUUCAAAAGUGAAAGACGGUCUUGCUGUCACUUAUAGAUGGAUCCGCGCUGCAUUAGCUAGUUGGUAAGGUAACGGCUUACCAAGGCAACGAUGCAUAGCCGACCUGAGAGGGUGAUCGGCCACACUGGAACUGAGACACGGUCCAGACUCCUACGGGAGGCAGCAGUAGGGAAUCUUCCGCAAUGGGCGAAAGCCUGACGGAGCAACGCCGCGUGAGUGAUGAAGGUCUUCGGAGCGUAAAACUCUGUUAUUAGGGAAGAACAUAUGUGUAAGUAACUGUGCACAUCUUGACGGUACCUAAUCAGAAAGCCACGGCUAACUACGUG
rnacentral:rRNA from 1 species